rnacentral:misc_RNA from 1 species
AUGCAGUCCAAAAGCAGUGUUAAAGCCAAAAUUUUGAGGAGUAUAUAAUUUCUAUACCUAGUAAAAAUGAUACAGAGGAAAGGUCACUUUUUAAAUUAUAUUUGGUGAUCUCAAACUUGCAAAUCCUAAGUUUAGCAUUGGCCUAGCUCACAGAAUAACAGACAGCUAUGUGACCAUAAUCACAGCCUUCUUCCUUUUUCUUUUUAAGUUCCAAAACGAAAACAUAAUCAGACCCUUCUUUCUUUUUUUAGUAAGCGAUUACGAACAAAAUAAUAUUACUAAUAUUAAGGAGAAACAGCACUGAACAAUUGGCAAGGCAAGCAAGACUUGUAAAAUGAAUGAAUGAAUGA